AGGAAGAAUUUCUACAUUGAGACUACUAAGUGUGAAUUAUGUGAUGAUGAACCUAAUGAACACCUAAUGCAUCUCUUUUUUAGCUGUGAUUUCAGCCAAACCUUCUGGAUGAACAUUGGUUACCAAUGGGACACUGAUCAUAACCUUAUAGAAAUGCUCUUGGAGGGAAGGAAGCAAGAUAUCCAUGGCUGCUUUAAAGAAUGCUUGAUUGCUGGAUGCUAGAGUCUCUGGAAACACAGAAAUAGCAUUAUUUUUUAUCACAAGGUCAAGCAUAUGACAUAUUGCAUUGCCACUUUCAAGGAGCACUUUAGCAUGAUUAUAAAGAAGGAAAAACCUGGAUUGAAGGAGGGCAUGCAAAGUUGGCUAGAUCAUUUGUAG
rnacentral:rRNA from 1 species